rnacentral:rRNA from 1 species
UACGGAGGGUGCAAGCGUUAUCCGGAUUCACUGGGUUUAAAGGGUGCGUAGGUGGGUUGGUAAGUCAGUGGUGAAAUCCCCGAGCUUAACUCGGGAACUGCCAUUGAUACUAUUAAUCUUGAAUAUUGUGGAGGUUAGCGGAAUAUGUCAUGUAGCGGUGAAAUGCCUAGAGAUGACAUAGAACACCAAUUGCGAAGGCAGCUGGCUACACAUAUAUUGGCACUGAGGCACGAAAGCGUGGGGAUCAAACAGG